UACGACUACAUAUCAGGCAUAUCAAUAAGCGGAGGAAAAGAAACUAACUAGGAUUCCCUUAGUAACGGCGAGUGAAGCGGGAAGAGCUCAAAUUUGAAAUCUUCAAGGUUCUACCUUGACGAAUUGUAGUUUAAAGAAGUGUUUUCUGUUGGAGUUUUGGUAAAAGUUCUUUGGAAUAGGACAUCAUAGAGGGUGAGAAUCCCGUAUUUGACCAUUUCUUCCAGCUGUGUGAUACACUUUCAAAGAGUCGGAUUGUUUGGGAAUGCAGACCAAAAUGGGUGGUAAAUUUCAUCUAAAGCUAAAUAUUGGCGAGAGACCGAUAGCGGACAAGUACCGUGAGGGAAAGAUGAAAAGAACUUUGAAAAGAGAGUUAAACAGUACGUGAAAUUGUCAAAAGGGAAGCGUUUGACACCAGUGUUGUUUUCUCGAAAAUCAAUUAAAAAUGGCUUGAUUUUGUGUUGUAUUGACCUUAAAAGCUUUCUUCACUUUUUUCAUGUCUUUUUUAAUGCACUUUUCGUUUAACAAGUCAGCAUCAAUUUCUUCUGUUGUAAAAGGGUCAUUGGAAGGUGGCUUUCUUUUCGGAGAAAGUGUUUAUAGCCUUUGACUCCUGCAAUCGGAGAGAUUGAGGUCUGCGGCGUAGAUCCUUCGGGGUUAGAUACAUUUGUGCUAAGUUAUAGUUUUUCAUAGACAACAUUGUUGACUAUGAUUUAAUCAUUGUAGCUUACUCGCUUACUGCUAUUUUACCUACGCUUAGGAUGUUGACGCGCGUGUGUGCGUG
rnacentral:rRNA from 1 species